CAUGAAAUACAUUGGUGUACCC
rnacentral:siRNA from 1 species